GCAUUUAAUUGUGAUUCUAAUAUUAAUGGAGAUAACACAUAACAUCUCUUGUUUUACUUUUUCUAUGUACACAAGAAAACUUGGAAUUGAAAAUAUUUUGGAAUGUGUUUAGGAGAACAGUCAUUUGAUUUAAACACGAUCUAAACAUAUGAUUCACACGGUCAAGUUUAGCUCGUGACAAGAGAAGAAUGGAGAUUGGAUUCUUUGCUGGGCCUAAGUAACUUGAGAUUGUCUGACGGGGACUUCCAUUAGCCCCGUGUUCACUAAAGCUUGCCACACCAUCAGCAAUGGUUUGCACCUUGCCUCAGCGUCUUCGUGGAUGCCAGGUGAGGAGUGGCAGUGAUGAGCAUGCCUUCUGUGGCUACACAGAGUCCACGGGUUUUCCAAGUCUUCAGAGGAGCACUUCAGUUUUCAGAAAUGGAAUGGUUCCUCUUUUUCCUGUUUCCUCAAUAUUUUCCUAAAAGACACAAACUUACAGAAGUUGUUUCUGAAAGUGGAGCUGACUGGAAAAGUACCCGAUUUUGUUUCUAAAUAUCUAUUUGUAGAAUUUUCCAAAGCCAGUCCGUCAGAGACAGGGGAUUCCAUCUCAAUCUACCUUGAAAGGCGAUCGAAUUUAACAAGCAUUUGUACUUUGUUCCAGACUCUAUGACUUUGAACAUUAAGCACUCACCCAGCCACUUUCCCUGGAGAGGUAAAGCUGCAUCAGGCAUGAAUCCAGUUCUCAAGGAGCUCACUGCCAAGCUCAGCAGGUGAGACAGAGAACGAGGGAAAAAGGCAUUGGUGCACAAGAACAAGAACCACGGGACCAGUAACUGGCGUCUUGUCCAGAGAGGCUGUGAGAAUCACUCCACUGCUUUUUCUUCAGGGUAACUUCAUCUCCCCACAUCAUGAUGUACUGUAAGGAUUGUGGGAAAUGCUUUGCCCCCUUUGGAUGAAAGGUGUAUUAUAUAAGGUCUGUAAAAGGUCUUUGGAUACGUUUAGAAAAAAAUAAGUGAUAGCAAUGAUAAUAAUAUCUAGCAUUUAUUGAAUGCUUAUUAUACGCCUGGCAUUAAACUAAAGAUGGGAAUACGGCUUUAAUCUGUAACUCUAUUUUAUAUCCGUUGAGCCCCAAAUUAUCAAAAUAUUUCUGUCUA